UUUCCGUAGGUGAACCUGCGGAAGGAUCAUUCAUAAUAAAGUGUUUUAUGGCACUUUUUAAAAAUCCAUAUCCACCUUGUGUGUAAUGUUAGAUCUCGUCAAUCUUGGCGAGAUUUUUAUACAUCAACUCAUUCUUUAACUAAUUUGUCUGAAAAAUAUUAUGAAUACUUAAUUCAAAGUACAACUUUCAACAACGGAUCUCUUGGCUCUC
rnacentral:misc_RNA from 1 species